AGAGCGAACGCUGGCGGCAGGCUUAACACAUGCAAGUCGAGCGGGCGUAGCAAUACGUCAGCGGCAGACGGGUGAGUAACGCGUGGGAACGUACCUUUUGGUUCGGAACAACCCAGGGAAACUUGGGCUAAUACCGGAUAAGCCCUUACGGGGAAAGAUUUAUCGCCGAAAGAUCGGCCCGCGUCUGAUUAGCUAGUUGGUGAGGUAAUGGCUCACCAAGGCGACGAUCAGUAGCUGGUCUGAGAGGAUGAUCAGCCACAUUGGGACUGAGACACGGCCCAAACUCCUACGGGAGGCAGCAGUGGGGAAUAUUGGACAAUGGGCGCAAGCCUGAUCCAGCCAUGCCGCGUGAGUGAUGAAGGCCCUAGGGUUGUAAAGCUCUUUUGUGCGGGAAGAUAAUGACGGUACCGCAAGAAUAAGCCCCGGCUAACUUCGUGCCAGCAGCC
rnacentral:rRNA from 1 species